ensembl:lncRNA
GUGUGCUCCCUAAAUCCUGACAGAACCUCAACCACUAAAAGUGAAAAACAGACAUCAGUGUCAGUGCUUGGGAUCUCCCUGGUAAAGAAAGUGCAAAGCUUCACUUAGAAGUUCAAUGAGAAAGAGUCAAAGUGGGAUGAUAAGUAUGAAUGAUGAUUCAACGGAUGAUGGACUGGCCCACACUGUGAAAAUGAAGGGUGUUCAACCCAGUUACUUAAGAGGCUUGGGUGUUAAGACUGGAGGUCUAGUACAGAACACUCUGCUCUUCACUGAUGAUUCUCCAAUUAUGGAAGAACCUGUCCUCAAGAUUUUUGCUACACACAGUGUCACUGUGAAGAACCAAGCACACUGCAAGCAUCAAGGUCCCCUUGGCAAAACCAAGGCUCAAAGUCACAUCAAGGACAGUAUGGAGGAGACUGAGAAAGAAGAUGUGGUGUUGGAGAAAGCCAGUCUGGCAUCCUGAAAUGGGACCAAGUUCUGUAUUCACAUUUGCAAGCUGUGGACUCUGCUGCUGUCACACAGCCUUCAGAACUGCUGCAGGUGGUGGAUUUUUCAACUCCAGCUUCAGCUUAGCCUGGCAGCAAACCAGACCAUGGAGAUGCUCUGUAAGGACAUUAAAGACAUGAGUUGAAGACACCAAAAAGCAGAAAAAAAUGCACUAAUAUCCCUAUCUCUAGUACCAUUCACAGACAAAUACUACUUCUGAAUCUAAGCCAAGAGUGAAGCUGGUAUGGGAGAAGCAGCAUCGUUAGAGGAAGGAAUUCUAGCAAUGUUACCUUCAGGUAAGACCUGCAGUAUCUACCUAGCUGGAACUCCUAUCUGUAAGCUGUUAGUCUCUUUUGUAAAAAGAGUUUUGUUAGUACAUUUUGUAAAGCUUUAUCAGAUUAAUCUUCCACAAAAAAAAAAAGCAUUUAUCAUCACAGCUUGGCUGGGUUUUGUUCAGUUUUCAGAGGUUCUAAGAGGAGAUGGAGAACAGCACAAAACUGCACAAUCCUUGAGCCAAAUGUAAAUAAUUCUGCCAUCCUUCUUGCUAAGCUGUCCCCUGAAUGAGUAUGUCAGGUAUAAUGGUGUAAUAGGUGUUUUUUUGUCACCACAACUUCACAUCACACCUCACAUGUGGUUACAGAGGUCAUUUUUGGAAGAUUCCCUGAUUCCUGACAUGGAUUCAGUAGUCUGAGUAUGGGUUAGGACAGUUGAUCCUACAGUAAACAAACCAUCAUGUCUGAAACAGCCAUUUGCUGUAAAUAUGUGGUGUUACUGAGACAGGAUUAUAGUCCUUUCAGGCCCUCAGUGAGUACUCAGCCUUCUGGUACCAAAAGCUAAAGUAAUAUUAGCAGAGGUCAUGCUUCAAGAACACUAAUUAUGUCUUGAGAAUGAAGAUAUAAAAGAGAAUGACCUGCCAUGAAAUCCCUAGCUACCUUACUAAAUGAGGUAGCAAAGCAUCUAAAUCUUUAUUGUUUAGAACUUGUUUGCUUAAUUAUUAAUUUGAACAUUCAGGCUUUUUGUGUAAGAUACUCCCAGGUGACCAAGCAUGAUGCUGGCUGUCCUCAGUAGCAGUAAGGCCAGCAGGAAUAGGUGAUUCAUGAGUAGAGCAGAAGGACUUUCAGGUUUCACUGAGGAAGUCUCAGAUGGCAACAUCCAGUUGGCCAAUAUGGAAAUGGUCAUUUCUCUUCUCAGUCUGCACUUUGGAACUACACAACCCAUCCACAGGGGAUGGCUUUAUCAUUUAUUAUUAUGGUUUACUGUAUCAUCAAAUAAACACCAAAAAAAUCCCA